GGUGGUAAAAGAAGAGGUCAGCAGGAAGAUGGCGAAGAGCGACCAAAGACCAAGAAAAAGAGGCAGUCAGGCAAAGAUGAAGAGUAUUAUAUCCCUUACAGACCUAAAGACUUUGACUCUGAGAGAGGGUUGAGUCUCGGUGGAGAGGGCAGUGCUUUUGAACAGCAGGCCUCUUCAGCUGUCCUUGAUCUCAUGGGAGAUGAAGGCGAUCGCCUUAACCAGCAGAAGAAAAUGAUGAAAUGGGACCGUAAGAGGAAGCGUUUUGUGAGAGAAACGGGAAAAGAAGACCAGAAGAAGAAGAUCAAAACAGACAGCGGUCAGGUUAUCAGUAACAAGAAGAACAGGAAGAACUUGUAUCCUUCCAACAAAAAGCUUCUCU